ACUCCCGUUCCGUGACGCGUGGCACGCGCUACACCUGAUCUCUACCUGAGUUUACCUGAGAGGUAAGGACUAGCUGCGUUCCCACACUACUCUAUUUUAAGAUCGGAUCACUGGUGUCAGCGACAGGUGGUGGGUGAGAGGGACGAGAGGGGGACAAAUGAACCGAAUUUCUGACGAGGAGAAUUCCGAUACAGAAAAUGGCGCCAAACGUUCAUUUCUCAAAAUUCCGCAAAGAUGUUAUGUCGAUUGGUCCAAGGGCGCACAUGCUGUACAGUCCGGCCAGUGGUCAGUUGAGCCAUGAAAACCACCACUGAUCACAGCAUUUCUUGAAAACAAUCAAAUAUUAAAACACUAUAAGUGACAUACUUAUGAUUUAUGAUAGUGUUCAGGAAUAAAACAAGAUGCGCACGAUA